GAUGAACGCUGGCGGCGUGCCUAAUACAUGCAAGUCGAGCGAACAGACGAGGAGCUUGCUCCUCUGACGUUAGCGGCGGACGGGUGAGUAACACGUGGAUAACCUACCUAUAAGACUGGGAUAACUUCGGGAAACCGGAGCUAAUACCGGAUAAUAUAUUGAACCGCAUGGUUCAAUAGUGAAAGACGGUUUUGCUGUCACUUAUAGAUGGAUCCGCGCCGCAUUAGCUAGUUGGUAAGGUAACGGCUUACCAAGGCAACGAUGCGUAGCCGACCUGAGAGGGUGAUCGGCCACACUGGAACGGAGACACGGUCCGGACUCCUACGGGAGGCAGCAGUAGGGAAUCUUCCGCAAUGGGCGAAAGCCUGACGGAGCAACGCCGCGUGAGUGAUGAGGGUCUUCGGAUCGUAAAACUCUGUUAUUAGGGAAGAACAAAUGUGUAAGUAACUAUGCACGUCUUGACGGUACCUAAUCAGAAAGCCACGGCUAACUACGUG
rnacentral:rRNA from 1 species